GGAGAUGUAGCUCAGUUGGUAGAUUGCUUGUCUCACAUGAACAAAUCCCUGAGUUCAAUUCCCCAGCAUUACAA
rnacentral:tRNA from 1 species